GUUACCACAAAACUUGGAAGAGAAAAUGGAGAAGGCAACAUUUCUUAAGGUUUUCUUGAUCUCCUUUUUGCUUAUGUUGUUUGUACAAGGAAGCCAUGUGCAAGGAGGAUGUACCAGCGAUGCCGAUUGUGCUACGGUUCUGAAAUGCAUAGAAGCACAACCCAUAUGUGACUUGACAAGCCAUCAAUGUGUCUGUCCACGAACUCCACCAGCUAAUUAUGGAACAAGAACCAUUUACAAGACUCACCAAAACUGAUUUUAUUAUGUUUUUCAAUUUCAUAAGAUUCAAUAAAGAUCUAUUGUUUUCAUAUUAA